UGGCAGAUUUGACCGAGACGAUCAAAACUUAGGAUGUCUAGACAAAUUUAGGCGUCCACGUAGGUAGGCCGCAACUCCAAACUUGCGUAGACGCCUAAAUUUAUCCAGAUAUCCCAAGGUUUGGUAGUCUCAGUCAAAUCUACCA